ACGAACGCUGGCGGCGUGCUUAACACAUGCAAGUGGAGCGACGAACCGGGGCUUGCCCCGGGGCAGAGCCGCGAACGGGUGAGUAACACGUGGGUAACCUGCCUCAAUGAUUGGGACAACCCGGGGAAACUCGGGCUAAUACCAAAUGUGUUCACUCCUUCCAAGGGGAGUGAGGAAAGGAAGCUUCGGCCUCCGCAUUGAGAUGGGCCCGCGGCCCAUUAGCUUGUUGGUGAGGUAACGGCUCACCAAGGCUUCGAUGGGUAGCUGGUCUGAGAGGACGAUCAGCCACACUGGGACUGAGACACGGCCCAGACUCCUACGGGAGGCAGCAGUGGGGAAUCUUGCACAAUGCGCGAAAGCGUGAUGCAGCAACGCCGCGUGGGGAAGACGGCCUUCGGGUUGUAAACCCCUUUCAGUUGGGACGAAGCUUCGUCGGUGAAUAGCCGGUUGGAGUGACGGUACCUUCAGAAGAAGCCCCGGCUAACUACGUG
rnacentral:rRNA from 1 species